rnacentral:rRNA from 1 species
CCCUUAGAUGUUCUGGGCCGCACGCGCGCUACACUGACGGAGGCAGCGAGCAUGUCCUUCGCCGAGAGGUGUGGGGAAUCUUGUGAGUCUCCGUCGUGCUGGGGAUAGAUGGUUGCAAUUGUCGAUCUUGAACGAGGAAUUCCUAGUAAGCGCGAGUCAUCAGCUCGCGCUGAUUACGUCCCUGCCCUUUGUACACACCGCCUGUCGCUACUACCGAUUGAAUCGUUUAGCGAGAAUUUUGGAUCGGAGCCCUGGUGGGCAGCGAUGUCCGCCUGGGAUUUACCGAGAAAUCAUUCCAGCUUGCCGAUUUAGAGGAAGUAAAAGUCGUAACA